rnacentral:rRNA from 1 species
UGGGAACGCGAAGAACCUUACCUAGACUUGACAUCUCCUGAAUUACCCUUAAUCGGGGAAGCCCUUCGGAGCAGGAAGACAGGUGGUGCAUGGUUGUCGUCAGCUCGUGUCGUGAGAUGUUGGGUUAAGUCCCGCAACGAGCGUAACCCUUAUUGUUAGUUGCUACCAUUUAGUUGAGCACUCUAGCGAGACUGCCCGGGUUAACCGGGAGGAAGGUGGGGAUGACGUCAAAUCAUCAUGCCCCUUAUGUCUAGGGCUACACACGUGCUACAAUGGCUGGUACAGAGAGAUGCUAAACCGUGAGGUGGAGCCAAACUUUAAAACCAGUCUCAGUUCGGAUUGUAGGCUGAAACUCGCCUACAUGAAGCUGGAGUUGCUAGUAAUCGCGAAUCAGAAUGUCGCGGUGAAUACGUUCCCGGGUC